AUGCACGCAGCAGGUGUGGACACACAUAGCAGGUGCAGUGAGGAUGCAUGCGACAGGUGCAGAGGCACGCAGCAGGUGCCACGCAGGAUGCAAUGCAGGCUCGAUGCAGGAUGCACACAGCAGGUGCAGUGCCGGGCGCGCACAGCCUGGGACAGCCCCGCGCCCGCCGGCGGCCCCUUUAAGGCUGCGGGGCGGGGCGGCGCGGCGGGGCCGGGUGUGGGGUUGCGGCUCCCGGUGCUGGCGGCGGCGGCGGGGGGGCUCCGGCCGUGCCCGGCCCAUGGCCCGGCCCCCGGCGCCUCCCGGGGCCCCGCGCUGCUUCGGGGCGCUGAGCACGGGGCAGCUGCGGGCGCUGCUGCAGGACGAGCCCCGGCUGCAGCGCGCCGUCCGCCUCAGCAGGAAGUUCCAGGAGCUGCAGCGGGAGCGGGAGGAGCGGCUGGCGGCCAACAGCGCUCUGGCCCGGGACAACCUGGCGCUGCGGCCGCGGCUGGAGGACGGGAAGGCGGCGCUGGCCAUCAAAUACCAGGAGCUGCGCGAGGUGCGCGAGGCGUGCCGGGCCAAGCUGCGGCGCCUGGAGGUGUACCUGGAGGAGUGCGGCCCGCAGCGCGCCCUGGGCCGGCUCCGAGCCGCGCUGGACGCGUCCGAGGAGGAGGCGGAGGCGCAGAUGCAGCGGUUCCUGGCGCACGAGGUGCCCCUCGAUGCCUUCCUGGAGUCCUUCUGCCGGAGCCGCGCGCGCUCCCACGUCUCUCGGACGCAGCUGGAGAAGCUGCAGGAGCUGCUGCAGAGGGGCCGGGACCCUGCGGGGGAGCCCCCGGGGCUCAGCCCGGCGCCGGGCCGCGGCACGGCCUCCCCCAGAGCCCUACAGCUGCGCUACGGCUUCGUGCCCGCCGUCCUCGUCCCCGCGGCGGCCGUGGUGCCCUUCGCCGUGCCGCCCAAGCAUCGUCUCCCGGCCCUGAGACAGCCGCCGGCCGCCCCGCACCUCGCCCCGCACGCGGCCCCGCUCAGUCCCCGGCCCUUCCGCCGUCGGGAGCCGGAGCCGCUGCAGCCGUAGAGGUGUGGGGCCGGGGAACGGCGGGCGCGAACUCCGGGAGCUGCUGCGUGCGGGGAAGAAGCUGCUGCAUCCGCUGCAGAAGUGGGGAGAGGGUGUGGGUCGGUGGGGUGGUGGUAGAGGGGAAAAGGGUCCAGGAGCACGAGCUGCUGUACGCUCCCCAAAUAAAUGCUCUGUUCUGCACCGCGUGGGCCUGGCUGUGA
rnacentral:lncRNA from 1 species